CGCGCUUCCCUGGGCUUUCACAGGAGCGCGGAGGAUGUCUUCUUACAGGUUUUAUAGUGAGUUUCCGAGUUCUGAGACUUCGUUUCAGUGGGUUUGGCAGCCUUUUCAGCAGGAAAGGCGUCGCUGUCAGAGACCAGGAGGUGCGAAUCUGCUGUCUGGCUGGGAACUAACAUCCCACAUGCAGUGCUGUGCAGUCAAAAAGAAAGGAAGAUGGAUGGAAGAGAGAGGGAGAGGGAGAGAGAGAGAGAGGAACCAAAGGAAGAAGAGGCAGUGUCCUGUACAAAGCGUUGAGGGCAUUUACCAGUGAAGGAUGUCCUCUGUGGCUGCCACUAAAGUGGUACUGAUGUUUUAGAAGACGAAAUGAACGUCUGGUGUCGGCUACACUCAGGAGCCCCAGAUAGUGUGAGGGUAGAAUUACUGCCGCCCCCAGUCCCUCCUCUUCAUCAGCUCUGGGAUCCAGCCCUCAGCUGCUCUGAGCUCCUGCUGCCUCCUUCCUCCUCAUCCUGCCUCGAUGACCUCUUCCCUGCUCCCAGGAGGGCAGUCACCAUUCGUGCCUGACUCUUCUGGAAUGCACAUCUCCAAGCACAUUGUCACCUAUGUGUGUGUGGUCAGCACACUUUGGUGACAGAAUAAAGAAACUGUAUGAAUUGACCCAUUUUCCGUAUUAUGUCACUGUUAUCUGUAGACCAUCA